UGCAAGUCGAACGGCAGCGCGGGGCAACCUGGCGGCGAGUGGCGAACGGGUGAGUAAUAUAUCGGAACGUACCCAAGAGCGGGGGAUAACGUAGCGAAAGUUACGCUAAUACCGCAUACGAUCCAAGGAUGAAAGCAGGGGAUCUUCGGACCUUGUGCUCCUGGAGCGGCCGAUAUCUGAUUAGCUAGUUGGUGAGGUAAAGGCUCACCAAGGCGACGAUCAGUAGCUGGUCUGAGAGGACGACCAGCCACACUGGGACUGAGACACGGCCCAGACUCCUACGGGAGGCAGCAGUGGGGAAUUUUGGACAAUGGGCGCAAGCCUGAUCCAGCAAUGCCGCGUGAGUGAAGAAGGCCUUCGGGUUGUAAAGCUCUUUUGUCAGGGAAGAAACGGCCGAGGCUAAUACCUUUGGCUAAUGACGGUACCUGAAGAGUAAGCACCGGCUAACUACGUGCCAGCAGCCGCGGUAAUACGUAGGGUGCAAGCGUUAAUCGGAAUUACUGGGCGUAAAGCGUGCGCAGGCGGUUUUGUAAGUUUGUCGUGAAAGCCCCGGGCUCAACCUGGGAAUUGCGAUGAAGACUGCAAGGCUUGAAUCUGGCAGAGGGGGGUAGAAUUCCACGUGUAGCAGUGAAAUGCGUAGAGAUGUGGAGGAACACCGAUGGCGAANGCAGCCCCCUGGGUCAAGAUUGACGCUCAUGCACGAAAG
rnacentral:rRNA from 1 species